CUACGGGAGGCAGCAGUGGGGAAUAUUGGACAAUGGGCGAAAGCCUGAUCCAGCAAUGCCGCGUGAGUGAUGAAGGCCUUAGGGUUGUAAAGCUCUUUCACCGGGGAAGAUAAUGACGGUACCCGGAGAAGAAGCCCCGGCUAACUCCGUGCCAGCAGCCGCGGUAAUACGGAGGGGGCUAGCGUUGUUCGGAAUUACUGGGCGUAAAGCGCGCGUAGGCGGCUUGACAAGUUGGAGGUGAAAGCCCGGAGCUCAACUUCGGAAUUGCCUUCAAGACUGUCUCGCUCGAGGCAGGGAGAGGAGAGCGGAAUACCCAGUGUAGAGGUGAAAUUCGUAGAUAUUGGGUGGAACACCGGUGGCGAAGGCGGCUCUCUGGCCCUGAUCUGACGCUGAGGCGCGAAAGCGUGGGGAGCAAACAGGAUUAGAUACCCUAGUAGUCC
rnacentral:rRNA from 1 species